rnacentral:rRNA from 1 species
GACAGAGGUGCCGAGCGUUAGGCGGAAUCACUGGGCUUAAAGCGUGUGUAGGCGGGCCGUUAAGUGCCCCGUGAAAUCCCCCGGCUCAACCGGGGAACGGCGGGGCAUACUGGCGGCCUUGAGCCACUUAAGGGCAGACGGAACAAGCGGUGGAGCGGUGAAAUGCGUAGAUAUCUGGAGGAAUACCGGUGGCGAAGGCGGCAUCCUGGACCGGCAUUGACGCUGAGGAGCGAAAGCGUGGGGAGCGAACAGG